rfam:Triticum aestivum genome assembly, contig: Triticum_aestivum_CS42_TGACv1_scaffold_223795_3B
GACAUACUCCCUCCAUCAGAAAAAACUUGUCCCAAGCUUGUCCCUCAAAUGGAUGUAUCUAGCACUAACUUGGUGCUGCUAAGAUACAUCCAUUUGAGGGACAAGCUUUUUCGGACGGAGGGAGUAUCAA